GUGUGAUAGUCUCUACCCAGCUGAUUGUAGUUGUGGUGUCUUUGUCCCCAGGUGUGAUCGUCUCUACCCAGCUGAUUGUAGUUGUGGUAUCCAGGUGUGAUAGUCUCUACCCAGCUGAUUGUAGUUGUGGUGUCUUUGUCCCCAGGUGUGAUCGUCUCUACCCAGUAACGGGAUGGAGGUCCAACCAGAGGAGACGGUCGUGGUACCGGAGGUUCUUCAGAGCUCAGCAGAGACACACGGAGAGGAACUGGAACUUAACGACGGUACCAGCACCGAGCACCGGGAGGACGGAUGCACAGCUGAGACAGAACCUCGGGGACUGACCUCCGUGACCUCAGACAGCCGUUUACCGGGAGAGUUAACGGGAGGAGCAGAGGAGAUGGAGGUUACGGAGAAUCUCGACUCUGUCUCGAGCUCCGAGCUGGGAGACGGAACCACACACACUAACCUCCUCCAGGACCCCCCCUGGACCCCCCCCAGGACGUCUCCCAGGACCCCUCCCAGGACCCCCCCCAGGACCCCCCCCAGG
rnacentral:lncRNA from 1 species